rnacentral:tRNA from 1 species
GUGUCUGUAACUCAGUGGAUAGAUCGAGCAUUUGUUUACUACGCAGUAGGUUGUGGGUUCGACCCCUACCUGACGCG